AUUGAACGCUGGCGGCAGGCCUAACACAUGCAAGUCGAACGAGUGGCGGACGGGUGAGUAAUGUCUGGGAAACUGCCCGAUGGAGGGGGAGAACUACUGGAAACGGUAGCUAAUACCGCAUACCAUCGGAUGUGCCCAGAUGGGAUUAGCUAGUAGGUGGGGUAAUGGCUCACCUAGGCGACGAUCCCUAGCUGGUCUGAGAGGAUGACCAGCCACACUAGAGCUGAGACACUGUCCAGUCUCCUACGGGAGGCAGCAGUGGGGAAUAUUGCACAAUGGGUGCAAGCCUGAUGCAGCCAUGCCGCGUUUUUGAAGAAGGCCUUCGGGUUGUAAAGCACUUUCAGCGGGGAGGCGUUACCCGCAGAAGAAGCACCGGCUAACUCCGUGCCAGCAGCCGCGGUAAUUC
rnacentral:rRNA from 1 species